GAUGAACGCUGGCGGCGUGCCUAACACAUGAAAGUCGAGCGAUCUCUUCGGAGAGAGCGGCGGACGGGUGAGUAACGCGUGGGUAACCUGCCCUGUACACACGGAUAACAUACCGAAAGGUAUACUAAUACGGGAUAAAAUACGAAAGUCGCAUGGAUUUUGUAUCAAAGCUCCGGCGGUACAGGAUGGACCCGCGUCUGAUUAGCUAGUUGGUAAGGUAAUGGCUUACCAAGGCAACGAUCAGUAGCCGACCUGAGAGGGUGAUCGGCCACACUGGAACUGAGACACGGUCCAGACUCCUACGGGAGGCAGCAGUGGGGAAUAUUGCACAAUGGGCGAAAGCCUGAUGCAGCAACGCCGCGUGAGCGAUGAAGGCCUUCGGGUCGUAAAGCUCUGUCCUCAAGGAAGAUAAUGACGGUACUUGAGGAGGAAGCCCCGGCUAACUACGUGCCAGCCGCCGCGGUAACAC
rnacentral:rRNA from 1 species